rnacentral:rRNA from 1 species
GGGGUAACGGCCCACCAAGGCUCCGAUGGGUAGGGGUUCUGAGAGGAAGGUCCCCCACACUGGAACUGAGACACGGUCCAGACUCCUACGGGAGGCAGCAGUGAGGAAUAUUGGUCAAUGGACGCAAGUCUGAACCAGCCAAGUAGCGUGCAGGAUGACGGCCCUCCGGGUUGUAAACUGCUUUUAGUUGGGAAUAAAAGGGGGCUCGUGAGCCCCGUAUUGUAUGUACCAUCAGAAAAAGGACCGGCUAAUUCCGUGCCAGCAGCCGCGGUAAUACGGAAGGUCCGGGCGUUAUCCGGAUUUAUUGGGUUUAAAGGGAGCGUAGGCCGGCUUUUAAGUCAGCUGUGAAAGUCCGCGGCUCAACCGUGGAAUUGCAGUUGAAACUGGAGGCCUUGAGUGCACACAGGGAUGCCGGAAUUCAUGGUGUAGCGGUGAAAUGCUUAGAUAUCAUGAAGAACUCCGAUCGCGAAGGCAAGUGUCCGGGGUGCAACUGACGCUGAGGCUCGAAAGUGCGGGUAUCAAACAGGAUUAGAUACCCUGGUAGUCCGCACCGUAA